GCCCAGCGCCGAAUCCCCGCCCGGCGGUCGGGCGCGGGAAAUGUGGCGUACGGAAGUCUGCUUGCCCGGCGGCGGCAGGGGGGCCUGAGUCCUUCUGAUAGAGGCUCUGCCCGUAGACGGUGUGAGGCCGGUAAAGGCUCCCGUCGCGCCGGGGUCCGGUCUUCUCGGAGUCGGGUUGUUUGUGAAUGCAGCCCAAAGCGGGUGGUAAACUCCAUCUAAGGCUAAAUACCGGCGCGAGACCGAUAGCCGACAAGUACCUUAAGGGAAAGUUGAAAAGAACUUUGAAGAGAGAGUUCAACAGGGCGUGAAACCGUUGAGAGGUAAACCGGUGGGGUCCGCGCAGUCUGCGCGGGGGAUUCAGCUCCGGGGCUCGGUCGGUCGCUUGGUGCGCGGGUGGAGGGGGGUCUCCUCCUUCCCCGCCGCCUCGCUGGCCCGUGCCUUCUCCGGGGUGCACUUCCUCCGUGGCGGUGCGCCGCGACCGGCUCCUGUUCGGCUUGGAAAGGCUCGGGGCGAAGGUGGCCCGCGGCGCGAGCCGCGUGCUUUACAGCGCCCCCCUGGCCCGUACCUCGCCGCUUCCGGGGGCCGUGGACUUAGUACUCGCUGCGCCCUCUCUCCCCGCGGGGAGGGACGGGGCCCCCCGCUCCCGGCGUGGCUGUCGAGCGGGGCGGACUGUUCUCAGUGCGCCCCAACCGCGUCGCGUCGCCCGGGCGGGGAUCGGCUCUCGUAAAAGGCGUCAGGGGUCUGCGGCGAUGUCGGCAACCCACCGGACCCGUCUUGAAACACGGACCAAGGAGUCUAACGCGUGCGCGAGUCAGAGGGUGGUUACGAAACCCCGUGGCGCAAUGAAAGUGAGGGCCGGCGCGCGCCGGCCGAGGUGGGAUCCCGGCCCCCCCGCGGGGCGGGGCGCACCACCGGCCCGUCUCGCCCGCAGCGUCGGGGAGGUGGAGCGUGAGCGCACGCGAUAGGACCCGAAAGAUGGUGAACUAUGCCUGGGCAGGGCGAAGCCAGAGGAAACUCUGGUGGAGGCCCGCAGCGGUCCUGACGUGCAAAUCGGU
rnacentral:rRNA from 1 species